UACGGGGGGAGCAAGCGUUGUUCGGAUUUACUGGGCGUAAAGGGCGCGUAGGCGGCCAGCACAAGUCAGUUGUGAAAUCUCCGAGCUUAACUCGGAAAGGUCAACUGAUACUGUGCGGCUAGAGUGCAGAAGGGGCAACUGGAAUUCUUGGUGUAGCGGUGAAAUGCGUAGAUAUCAGGAAGAACACCAAUGGCGAAGGCAGCUCUCUGGGACGGUACUGACGCUGAGACGCGAAAGCGUGGGGAGCAAACAGG
rnacentral:rRNA from 1 species